rnacentral:rRNA from 1 species
UACGGGAGGGGGCUAGCGUUGUUCGGAAUUACUGGGGCGUAAAGCGCACGUAGGCGGCUUUGUAAGUUAGAGGUGAAAGCCCAGGGCUUAACCCUGGAAUUGCCUUUAAGACUGCAUCGCUAGAAUCGUGGAGAGGUGAGUGGAAUUCCGAGUGUAGAGGUGAAAUUCGUAGAUAUUCGGAAGAAACACCAGUGGCGAAGGCGACUCACUGGACACGUAUUGACGCUGAGGUGGCGAAAGCGUGGGGAGCAAACAGGG